rnacentral:rRNA from 1 species
AACGAACGCUGGCGGCGUGCUUAACACAUGCAAGUCGAACGCGAAAGGGAUCUUCGGAUCCCCGGUAGAGUGGCGCACGGGUGAGUAACGCGUAAUAAUCUACCCUGAUGUCUGGAAUAAUUAGCCGAAAGGCUGACUAAUACGGGAUACAUGCUUUGCUGUUGGGUGAAGCAGGAAAGGUGGCCUCUAUUUAUAAGCUAUCGCAUUGGGAUGAGUUUGCGUACCAUUAGCUAGUUGGUGGGGUAAGAGCCCACCAAGGCGACGAUGGUUAGCGGGUCUGAGAGGAUGAUCCGCCACACUGGCACUGGGAACACGGGCCAGACUCCUACGGGUGGCAG